rnacentral:rRNA from 1 species
CCUACGGGAGGCAGCAGUGGGGAAUAUUGGACAAUAGGGGCAACCCUGAUCCAGCCAUGCCGCGUGUGUGAAGAAGGCCCUCGGGUUGUAAAGCACUUUCAGUGAGGAAGAACGCCUGGUGGUUAAUACCCAUCAGGAAAGACAUCACUCACAGAAGAAGCACCGGCUAACUCCGUGCCAGCAGCCGCGGUAAUACGGAGGGUGCGAGCGUUAAUCGGAAUUACUGGGCGUAAAGCGCGCGUAGGUGGCUUGAUAAGCCGGUUGUGAAAGCCCCGGGCUCAACCUGGGAACGGCAUCCGGAACUGUCAAGCUAGAGUGCAGGAGAGGAAGGUAGAAUUCCCGGUGUAGCGGUGAAAUGCGUAGAGAUCGGGAGGAAUACCAGUGGCGAAGGCGGCCUUCUGGACUGACACUGACACUGAGGUGCGAAAGCGUGGGUAGCAAACAGGAUUAGAUACCCCAGUAGUC